GACCUUCAGGGUUCCUGCUGUUUAAGAAGCACCAUUUGAGUAGGCCAGAUUAUCUUCAGCUGUGUGGCUGUGCCUGCCUGUCGCACCCUGCAGGAGGAGGAUGAAGUCUAUGACUAAAUAACUUCAGACGAUUCAAGGUAUUGACAGGAAACUAAUCUACAGUAACGUCAUCAAAGUGUUCCCAUCAAGGACAAACUCACCAAAACCUGGAUGUGCAGAAAUUAGGACAGGAAGUGAAGAAUGGCUGCAAAGAAACAUUGGAGUUUUUUUUUUAUUUGCAACACUUCAGGAACUUAAAGAAAUGAACAAGAACUUCUCUGCUAUUGAAGUCGUAGAUAAACUUUCACCGCAACAGAAGUCUGAGCUAAUCCUGGAUCCAGACAGUGGUGCUUUGGAGGAUGCAAACUUCGUAAGGGAGGUGCUCACCAACUUGAAACUGUCUGGCAGGGACGAACAGCUCAGUCAGUUUUUCCAGACUUUUGUGCAAUUCAGUCAGCAGGCAUAACCGAAGAACGAGAUCCCGGAUAAAAGUUGCUGAAAUGAGCUUCCUCCGGGGGGCUGGUGUUCCAGCCACGUCCCACUAGAAGAAGUAGGAGCUGGAGGAGGUGUCUGGGGAGAGGGAAGUCUGGGCAUCUCUGCUUAGACUGCUGCCCCCAUGAUCCAGUCCUGUAUAUGUACUCAUACUCGUACAACAAGUAUGAGUACUUUUGACCAUCAAUAUAAUGACUGCCUUAUAAAAAUCCUACUACACAACAUGUUUGAUGCUGACAGAGACUGGCCCUUUGAACAUGUUAAGUAGAGCAAAGCAUCAGACAUCAAUCCCAAGGAGAAGGCUUCACAUCCCCAAUGUGUAACCAGUCCUGAUUUUGCAGAAAUAUGUGCAUAGAGCCUGUGACAUUGCAUAUUUUCCACCUUCCAAUCCAAUUCUAAUGCAGUUUGUGUUGCAUGGACACUUUGUUCAUAUAAAUUAUAACUUAAUGGACUGGUCAUCUUAUGCAGCAGAAGAAGAAUUGAUGUGUCAGUAGAGACACAAGAUAAGGUUCAGUUUUUCACAGUUUUAAGAACAGUACAGUAAUUGGCGUAUUUAAGAAAAGUGGCACCUCAUCUAACAUGUUUUUAUGCAACAAACUCUUUCAGUAAAACAAUAUUUUAUAAAUACUCAUUUAAAUUUUACAAGAGUGCCAUCUAGGAUUAUGAUGCAGUCUGUUGCUUGGCUCAAGCUUUAUUUGAAUAAAAGAAUGACAAUUUUUAAUCUUCAUCUU